UACCAGCACCCCGAGUGGUCGGGACGAUUAUUGGGCCUAAAGCAUCCGUAGCCGGUUUUACAAGUCCCCCGUUAAAUCCAGCUGCUUAACAGGUGGGCUGCGGAAGAUACUAUAGAGCUAGGAGGCGGGAGAGGCAAGCGGUACUCGAUGGGUAGGGGUAAAAUCCGUUGAUCCAUUGAAGACCACCAGUGGCGAAGGCGGCUUGCCAGAACGCGCUCGACGGUGAGGGAUGAAAGCUGGGGGAGCAAACCGG
rnacentral:rRNA from 1 species